rnacentral:sRNA from 1 species
AGAUUUCGACACAGCCCCAACUGCUGGUACCUGAGAAACUGGACUAUCCACACCUGGAUUAGGCAGUGUCUAAAAUAUGAUGCACAAGACAAAGCCUUAUAUACCCUUGUAAAUAAGGUUCAAUAUGGAAUUUUUCCAGAUAACUUUACAUUCAAUUUACUGAUGGAUUCUUUCAUAAAGAAAGAAAAUUACAAAGAUGCUUUAUCUGUGGUUUUUGAGGUCAUGAUGCAAGAAGCCUUUGAAGUGCCUUCCACCCAACUUCUCUCCCUCUAUGUUUUAUUUCAUUGCCUGGCAAAGAAGACAGACUUCAGUUGGGAAGAGGAGAGGAACUUUGGUGCAUCCCUAUUGCUUCCAGGCCUAAAACAAAAGAACUCAGUGGGUUUCAGUUCCCAGUUGUAUGGCUAUGCACUUCUUGAUUAGCAUUCAGGACUGUCAUACAGCCUGAAUUGGUCAGAAGUGACAGGGCAAAGAAUAUGUACUUUGUUGUGGUUUGUGAGCAGAGGCCCUGGUUCUUUGUGAUAGCAGCCAUCAGAUCAGAAGCUCUUUGCUCUCAUUGUGUCAUUUGCCAUGCAGCCUCACUCAACCCUGAUGGAAGCAGCUGCCCAGAAUGUAACUACAGUCCAGCCCCAAGCACCUUAAAGGGAAGGUGGAGUUGCAGCAAGGGCUACGGGCUGUGUACCACAACAUGCCUCUGAUAUGGAAACCAGGCUACCUUGACAGAGCCCUUCAAGUGAUGGAGAAAGUGGCUGCCUCCCCAGAAGACAUAAAGCUGUGUAGAGAAGCGCUCGAUGUGCUGGAUGCAGUGCUGAAGGCUCUGACUUCGGCUGAUGGG